CCUCUUGGAGCCUUGGCUUCCCUGGGACACCGCGCAGAUAAGGAGUGGGCAAAGGACUCAGGCACCCUGGGAACCAGACAAGAAUCCAUCUGAGCGGGAGCCAUGGGCACGCCUGCUAUUUUAAGCUUCUGAAGAACAACAACAACACAAAUUUGUCACCGAGCCAAAGCAAGAGGCCCCCAAGUCGCCCAGGAGGAGCCCCGAGGCGACUGCCACCAUCAAUUGUGCCUGACAAUUCCAUCUUGCUGGGUGCCUGCUACAAUCAGAAAGCGCAUGGUGCUGGGAGGUCAGAGGCCAGAGACCAGAGAUCAAGCUGGGCAGAGGCUCCAGGAACCAGGAUCAGGGAUGACACGGUUAGCACCUGGAGAGACCCUGGUGGAUGGUGGAGGAGGGAGAAUGCAGGAGGUGACUCUGGAAGUUCCCUGCCUGACCGCUGGGUCCAGACUGGCCUGGGGAGCCUGAUCAGACACCAGGGGCAUCUUUUUGGAAGUUCUCCCCAUUGUCUAACCUGAACCCUCCCACCAAAGCAGGGUCUGAGAAGGUGGGACACAGGCUGGAAGGCAGGGGAGCGAUAACCAUUCUUCCCUUCCACCUGUAAGACUCAAAGACUCCAGCCUUCUUUUCUCAGGUAAACCCACCCAUCCAUCUGGAGCGACAAGGUUUCAGCGCAGCCCCAGGCUCCUGAACUCGAAUCUUCUCUGAUGCUGUGGCAAGCGUGGGCCAGCUAUGAACGAUACCCCUCCUGAAUAAUCCCCAUGCUGGAGACAGUCUAUUCCUCAUUCAAUUCUCAGAGUCACCUUGUGGGGUCGCUCUCUCCCAUUUUACAGGUGAGAAAGCAGAGGUUCAGAAAGGUGUGGCUUGUCCAAGGUCAGAGUUGGUAAGUGGAGGACCAGUGGGGGUUCUCAGCUCAGAUCCCCCCUCUUUCCCCUGCUGUCCCUGAGGAACAUGCGGAUUCUGCUACCAAGGCACCCCUGAGUCUUCAUCCAAGCCAUUGGGCAAGAGCCCCUUGGGUCCCCUAGUCUGUCCAAGGCCCUGAGAAGGGAACACUCAAACCGCCCUCCUCCCCAGCGAAGCACAGAGACCCUCAGCCCCCUCCUCUUUGGGGAGACCCAACACGGGCAGAGCCAAAGGGAC